CAUCUGCUCCCCCUUCAUGGAGGCGCCAUCCUCGGCGCCAUUACCAGUUGUCAGAUCUGCCGCUUCUACGUCCUUGACCGGAUUUGUUCCCCGCCACGGACGGCCACCGGCAUCUAGAGGUUGCGUUCCGGCAUACAGUCAUGUUGAAUUCUGAAAAAUUGGUUGCUGCAUUCAUCAAUGCUGCAUUCUCAUAAUCUGAUGCUGAAUUCUGAAAUUGCAGAGCCGUAAGUGUUGAAUUGUUUACUUCUGGAGCGGUUGAAUUAUUGUUGAUUGGCUGAAAAGCUGAGGUUGAUUUGGCUUGAAUCUGAAAAAUUGGAUGUUGCUGCUUCUGGAUUUUGGUUGAAAUUUCUGCUGGUAGUGCACAAUCGGCUUCCCCAUGGAUCCUCUUGGUCACGGUUUCACCAAUUUUGUUGCAAGUUGCCUGAAUUUCUGCAGGUAUCUUGGAUCGUUUUUCAUAAUCUGAAUUCAAGCGAUCUAAGCUAGUUUGAAUUUGAUCCCAAAUUGUGUCAUCGUAGGAAUUUGGCAUGGUGUUCAAUGAAAGUACCAUUUGAUAUGAAUUUGUAUCGAGAACUAGAAAGAAUUAGAGAUAAUCAGAGAGAAUAGAAGAGAAAUCCCUACAAUUAGGGUCAAAGAGAGAAAGUAGAGUUUCCAAUUACACCAUGCAUAUCCUACAUUAUUACAUCAUACUCUUAUUUAUAGUAUAAUUCUCUAAUUGGGCUAGCCUAAUACUAA